rnacentral:rRNA from 1 species
CCUACGGGAGGCAGCAGUGGGGAAUAUUGCACAAUGGGGGAAACCCUGAUGCAGCGACGCCGCGUGAGUGAAGAAGGAUUUCGGUAUGGAAAGCUCGAUCAGCAGGGAAGAAAGAAAUGACGGUAGCGGACUAAGAAGCGCAGGCUAACUACGGGGCAGCAGCCGCGGUCAUACGUAGGGGGCAAGCGUUAUCCGGAUUUAAUGGGGUUAAAGGGAGCGUAGACGGCGAGGGCAGUCUGAAGGGAAAGGCGGGGGCCCCACCCCCGGACUGCUUUUGAAACUGGAUGGCUGGAGUGCAGGGGCGGUAAGUGGACUUCCUCGUGUCGCGGUGAAAUGCUUAGAUCUUAGGCGGA